rnacentral:misc_RNA from 1 species
GAUGAAGAACGUAGCGAAAUGCGAUAAGUAAUGUGAAUUGCAGAAUUCAGUGAAUCAUCGAAUCUUUGAACGCACAUUGCGCCCAUUAGCAUUCUAGUGGGCAUGCCUGUUCGAGCGUCAUUUCAACCCUUAAGCCCUGUUGCUUAGCGUUGGGAGCCUACAGUACUGUAGCUCCCCAAAGUUAGUGGCGGAGUCGGUUUCACACUCUAGACGUAGUAAUUUUUUCUCGUCUGUAGUUGAGCCGGUCCCCUGCCGUAAAACACCCAAUUUAUCAAGGUUGACCUCGGAUCAGGUAGGAAUACCCGCUGAACUUAAGCAUAUAAUAAGCGGAGGA